rnacentral:rRNA from 1 species
GACGAACGCUGGCGGCGCGCCUAAUGCAUGCAAGUCGAGCGACGCAUGCCCGGUGGGUAACCACUAGGUAUGACGGAGCGGCGAACGGGUGAGUAACACGUGAGCAACCUGCCCCGAAGACCGGGAUAGCCCGGGGAAACCCGGAUUAAUACCGGAUACCCUCUCUGGAUCGCAUGGUCCGGUGAGGAAAUGCCUUUGCGCUUCGGGAUGGACUCGCGGCCUAUCAGCUUGUUGGUGAGGUAACGGCUCACCAAGGCUACGACGGGUAGCUGGUCUGAGAGGACGAUCAGCCACACUGGGACUGAGACACGGCCCAGACUCCUACGGGAGGCAGCAGCAGGGAAUCUUGUCCAAUGGGCGCAAGCCUGAGACAGCGACGCCGCGUGAGGGAUGAAGGCCUUCGGGUUGUAAACCUCUUUCAGGAGGGACGAAAUUGACGGUACCUCCAGAAGAAGCCCCGGCCAACUACGUG